UAAUACGUAGGGUGCGAGCGUUAAUCGGAAUUACUGGGCGUAAAGCGUGCGCAGGCGGCGCCGCAAGUCAGGCGUGAAAUCCCCGAGCUUAACUUGGGAAUGGCGCUUGAAACUACGGUGCUGGAGUGUGGCAGAGGGAGGUGGAAUUCCACGUGUAGCGGUGAAAUGCGUAGAGAUGUGGAGGAACACCGAUGGCGAAGGCAGCCUCCUGGGCCAACACUGACGCUCAUGCACGAAAGCGUGGGGAGCAAACAGGAUUAGAUACCCUGGUAGUCCACGCCCUAAACGAUGAUGACUAGUUGUUGGGGGAGUUAAAUCCCUUAGUAACGCAGCUAACGCGUGAAGUCAUCCGCCUGGGGAGUACGGUCGCAAGAUUA
rnacentral:rRNA from 1 species